rnacentral:rRNA from 1 species
GGGUCUAUCCAUCGGUCGGGCUUUACGGUCCGUACUGGUUCGAUGGGUUCCUACCUUCUGAAUAACCGGCAUGCCAUUCAGUUGGUGCGCCGGGGAAGCAGAGCUAUUACCUUGAAAAAAUUAGAGUGCUUAAAGCAGGCUAUUGCUUGAAUAGAUUAGCAUGGAAUAAUAAAAUAGGACGGCAUGGUUCUAUUUUGUUGGUUUCUAGGAUCACCGUA